AUGGAGGUAUACGGCUUCAGCGACUCCUUCAGUGGGGUGGACUCCGUGCAGGAGCUGGCCCCGCCGCCCGCCCUACCCCCCAAGCAGCGGCAGCUCAGGCCUCCUGUGCUGCUUCUUCCUUCUCCUCUGUCUCCCACUGUGUCCAGCAAACUAAAGUGGCCUUCACCCCCGAGGACGGCAGUGCCGCUCAGGGCCUCAGUGUGUCCGUCUCUAACUCCUUUCUCAGCCGGCACGGCAGCUUGCCCGUGCCCUCUAUAAGUCUGUGUUUAGGUCCUACUCCCAGGAUUUCGUGCCUCACCACCAAGCUUCCGUUCCGCCUUUCCUUCCGCCUACCUCCUCUUCCUCUCCACAUUUCCCACCUGCCCACCAGUCUCAGAGCUCUGACUUAGCCGUGCCAACCAUGGCCGGUCCACCUCCCAGCACCGUGGACGGGCCUCUCUCGGCUUCUCAGGAGAGCAGCUUUCAUGGGAAUACUGUCUGCCUUCCUUCCGAAACCUCUUUCACUGACUCAGUGAAAACGCCAGUGAGGAAGCUGGUGAGGGUGAAUAUGUCAAUCUGUAUUCCUCUGGCCAGAGCAGCGAGGAGCUGGCUCCCUCUCGAGGGAGCCACCGGCUGGGAAAGACGGACAUCCCAGAGAUCCCUCAGCGGUCAGCGGCGUCCCUGGGAAGGACAGCAGAGACGGCAGUGAGAGGCCCCAAAGUCACCAGAUGCUCUGGAGUCGGC
rnacentral:lncRNA from 1 species